AUGAUACAGAGAAGAUUAAUACUAAAAUUGGAAUGAUACAGAGAAGACUAGCAUGGCCCCUGUGUAAGGAUGACACACAAAUUCAUGAAGCGUUCCACAUUAAA